rnacentral:rRNA from 1 species
GACGAACGCUGGCGGCGUGCCUAAUACAUGCAAGUCGUGCGAAGCGGCGGCUGGGUGAGUAACGCGUGUGUAACCUGCCCUUAAGUCUGGGAUUCCAUUUGGAAACAGAUGCCAAUACCGGAUACUAAAGGAUGGACCUGCGAUGCAUUAGCUCGUUGCUAAGGUAACGGCUUACCAAGGCGAUGAUGCAUAGCCGGGUUGAGAGACUGUUCGGCCACAUUGGGACUGAGACACGGCCCAAACUCCUACGGUAGGCAGCAGUAGGGAAUCGUCCACAAUGGACGAAAGUCUGAUGGUGCAUCGCCGCGUGAGUGAAGAAGGUUUUCGGAUCGUAAAGCUCUGUUGUUGGUGAAGCGGUAAUCAACCAGAAAGUCACGGCUAACUACGUGCCAGCAGCCGCGGUAAUAC